CAGCACCGCGCAAGCGCGCACCCAAGCCCCGCCCCGUGGGGGCCACCACGCCACACCCUCCCUCCAGCCCUGUCAAGGUUGAUUCAGUAUUGGUCGCCUCGCGUGAUUCUUCCCGCCCCCUCGCUGCUUCCGUUUCCGGUUCUGGCGCCCGCCACGGCUGUAAGGAUGAUCGGAGACAUCCUGCUGUUUGGGACGCUGCUGAUGAACGCCGGGGCUGUGCUCAACUUUAAACUGAAAAAGAAGGACACGCAAGGCUUCGGGGAGGAGUCGCGGGAGCCCAGCACAGGAGACAACAUCCGGGAGUUCUUACUGAGCCUGAGGUACUUCCGGAUCUUCAUCGCCCUGUGGAAUGUGUUCAUGAUGCUCUGCAUGAUUGUGUGAGUCCCGCACCGCCCGUGCGCACAUACCUCCACAGUGCUCCUGACCGUUUCACAGUGCGCUUGCCCACUGUUUGGCUCUUGAGAACCCAGAGCUCGCCUGCUGGAUGUCGAGGCUCCGUUUCUGUUUUGAUGACUUCACGAAUGUUUCUCACCGGAAAACCAGGGACUUUCCCAGGGGGCUUGAGUUCAUCUGGAUGAAGAAUAUCCACUUCCAGCCAGCUGGCCCUCCUCAGCCACUGUCCUCCUAUGCUCUGGGCUUUCAGGACAAGUCCUGAUCCUGUAGGAGAAAGACACACCUAGUCUUUCACUUGUCCUGGCAUCCCAACUCCCCCAGUGUCACAGGAGGCCUGUGGGCUGUUCAGUUGACUUGUUAGUGAUUGCUGUGGUCUGACUUGACGGAUUGUUCUUAGUCAGUGUGAUCAGGCACCAGACACAGGGCUGGCUGUGACCGUGAGCGCCCUCUUCUGCACAGCGAGGUCUGGCUUCCCAAAUGCUUCCCCUACCUUAUGACAGGGACCACCUGGGGCAGCUGAACUCACAUCAGGACUUGGAAGGAACAGGUCCCCACCCCCAGGACACCAGCCUCCUCUUUAGACCCUGAGCUGUUAGCCACAGAGGGCCUGGGUGCCAUGUUUGGCUUCUCCGGAAGAGGCAGUAACAAGUCAGCAGACAUCUUGUGCUUUCCUGCCUGGUAUUAAUAAAGUGGCUUUGGGGCCACCCCUCCUUCACUA